CUAAAUCCUUAGCUCAAUCACUUUUUUUUUCUGAUGUAAUUUAGCAGAAUUUCUGGAUUCAUUUUGUCAUAGUUUGCUUUCUCUCCCCUAGCUCACACCUUGGUAUUCUUAUUCUCUGAGGAAUCACUCUCCAAGGCUGAAUCAUUCGUCAGACUCAAUUCCAUGUGCCCUGAUUCCCACAGACAGAAAACAAACAAUUUGAAACACUGGACUUUAAGGCAGAGAAACGUUUAUUGCAAAGGCCAUGCAAUGGGUGGCUCAUGAUCAAAAGACCUGAAAUCACCAGUGGGUGUCAGGGAAGAAGUUUUUAUAGGCAAAAUAUGGGGAGAGGGUUGUAGAGUGUGUAAUCCUUCUCUGACUGGUUGGUGGUGAGGUAACAGAUAAGUGUUCCAGGAAUCUCAAUCAUCAGCCUUCUGGGUCCAACCAAUUUAGCAUCUAUGGUCUUUUUUUAAGAUCAGCCCAAAGUUACCAUGUGCCACCUGGGUGAUGGCCUUAGUUCUUGGAGAGGAACUCAAAGAUAUGUAUCAAAUUGCUGUGUGCAUCCCCUGAGGAGGAACCAGGACCAAGCCCUAUCACUUUACUAUUGUUUAUUUCUGCAUUCCCUCACUCAUUUAUAUUUGUAUUGAUGACAGAGAGAGGAAUUCAUAGAAUAAAAGUGUCUUACUAAAAAAAAUUAUGCUUAGGUCUUAAACCAUAUAUUAGAGGAUCAUGUGUGUCUAAUGGAUUGAGGAUUUUUUUUCUUAAAUGUUCUUUUGUUUACUUCUUACUUCUUACAGAGUUAAAGCUGCCCAAAUCAAUUAAACAUGAGGAAUUUAAGUUUGCAACUAGUGGUAGCCACUGUCAGCAUCAUGUGGACUUGGCAUUCCAGGGUUACUGGGAAAGUGAGUGGAGGACGUUCCCAGAUCUGAGCUAUGAGAACAUCAGCAAUCACAUGUCACAUCCUGAACACCGAAGGCUCUGUCUUGUGGAGAGAAACUUCCAUUAUUUGUGGAUGGAGGAACAGGUAACUCUGAUUAUUAAAUAUAUAUAUAUAUAUAUAUAUAUAUAAUAUUUUGUCUUUUUGUUAGGGCCACACUUAGGGCAUAUGGAAGUUCCUAGGGUAAGGGCUGAAUUGGAGCUGUAGCUACAGGCCUAUGCCACACCAACAGCAAAGCGGGAUCCGACGAGUUUCUGAGACCUACCCCACAGCAACACCAGAUUCUUUAAUCCACUGAGCAAGGCCAGGGAUCGAACCCAUGUCCUCAUGAAUGCUAGUCAGAUUCGUUUCUGCUGCACCACAAUGGGAACUCCCUGAUUAUGAUAUUACUUAACAAAAUACUAGGGAACAAUAAACUCUAACAGUUAUAAUUUAGUUCCUGGUCA
rnacentral:lncRNA from 1 species